ACGGAAGGCAGCAGUGGGGAAUAUUGCACAAUGGGGGAAACCCUGAUGCAGCGACGCCGCGUGAGUGAAGAAGUAUUUCGGUAUGUAAAGCUCUAUCAGCAGGAAAGAUAAUGACGGUACCUGACUAAGAAGCACCGGCUAAAUACGUGCCAGCAGCCGCGGUAAUACGUAUGGUGCAAGCGUUAUCCGGAUUUACUGGGUGUAAAGGGAGCGCAGACGGCAUGGCAAGCCAGAUGUGAAAGGCAGGGGCUCAACUCCUGGACUGCAUUUGGAACUGUCAAGCUAGAGUAUCGGAGAGGUAAGUGGAAUUCCUAGUGUAGCGGUGAAAUGCGUAGAUAUUAGGAGGAACACCAGUGGCGAAGGCGGCUUACUGGACGAUAACUGACGUUGAGGCUCGAAAGCGUGGGGAGCAAACAGGAUUAGAUACCCUGGUA
rnacentral:rRNA from 1 species